AGUGAACGCUGGCGGUAGGCCUAACACAUGCAAGUCGAACGGCAGCACAGGAGAGCUUGCUCUCUGGGUGGCGAGUGGCGGACGGGCGAGGAAUACAUCGGAAUCUACUUUUUCGUGGGGGAUAACGUAGGGAAACUUACGCUAAUACCGCAUACGACCUACGGGUGAAAGCAGGGGACCUUCGGGCCUUGCGCGAUUGAAUGAGCCGAUGUCGGAUUAGCUAGUUGGCGGGGUAAAGGCCCACCAAGGCGACGAUCCGUAGCUGGUCUGAGAGGAUGAUCAGCCACACUGGAACUGAGACACGGUCCAGACUCCUACGGGAGGCAGCAGUGGGGAAUAUUGGACAAUGGGCGUAAGCCUGAUCCAGCCAUACCGCGUGGGUGAAGAAGGCCUUCGGGUUGUAAAGCCCUUUUGUUGGGAAAGAAAUCCAGCUGGCUAAUACCCGGUUGGGAUGACGGUACCCAAAGAAUAAGCACCGGCUAACUUCGUGCCAGCCGCCGCAGUAA
rnacentral:rRNA from 1 species